AUUGAACGCUGGCGGCAGGCCUAACACAUGCAAGUCGAACGAGUGGCGGACGGGUGAGUAAUGUCUGGGAAACUGCCUGAUGGAGGGGGAUAACUACUGGAAACGGUAGCUAAUACCGCAUACCAUCGGAUGUGCCCAGGUGGGAUUAGUUAGUGGGUGGGGUAAAGGCUCACCUAGGCGACGAUCCCUAGCUGGUCUGAGAGGAUGACCGGCCACACUGGAACGGAGACACGGUCCAGACUCCAACGGGAGGCAGCAGUGGGGAAUAUUGCACAAUGGGCGCAAGCCUGAUGCAGCCAUGCGCCGUGGAUGAAGAAGGCCUUCGGGUUGUAAAGUACUUUAAGCGGGGAGGCGUUACCCGCAGAAGAAGCACCGGCUAACUCCGUGCCAGCAGCCGCGGUAAUUC
rnacentral:rRNA from 1 species